rnacentral:lncRNA from 12 species
GCACAUGCCAGGAAAGCUACUGCUCACCAGAAAAAAGAAAACAAACUCAUCUCCUUCAAGCCAGUACAUCUUCUUUCCCAAAAGUAACCAGAUGAGCUGGAACAAGAAGAAGACAGGACACUUCAUUACAAGGCAGAGCCUGGAACAAAACCUCACCACAGUUUUCUCUAGGCCUUUCCCCUUGAUGUCCACUGUUGAAUGCUCCCCUUUAGAGUGAAUGACAGCUGAAGGACUUGCAUAGCUCAGUGUAAGGAAAAGCUACUGAGAGUUCAAA